CGGGGUGCAGCAGGCGCGAAAACUUUACAAUGCCGGCAACGGCGAUAAGGGAACCUCGAGUGCCAGGUUACAAAUCUGGCUGUCGUGAUGCCUAAAAAGCAUUGCAUAGCAAGGGCCGGGCAAGACCGGUGCCAGCCGCCGCGGUAACACCGGCGGCUCGAGUGGUAACCGUUAUUAUUGGGUCUAAAGGGUCUGUAGCCGGCCGGGUAAGUCUCUUGGGAAAUCUGGCAGCUUAACUGUCAGGCUUUCAGGAGAUACUGCCUGGCUCGAGGCCGGGAGAGGUGAGAGGUACUUCAGGGGUAGGGGUGAAAUCUUGUAAUCCUUGAAGGACCACCAGUGGCGAAGGCGUCUCACCAGAACGGACCUGACGGCAAGGGACGAAAGCUAGGGGCACGAACCGGAUUAGAUACCCGGGUAGUCCUAGCCGUAAACGAUACUCGCUAGGUGUCGGCCACGGUGCGACCGUGGUCGGUGCCGUAGGGAAGUCGUGAAGCGAGCCACCUGGGAAGUACGGCCGCAAGGCUGAAACUUAAAGGAAUUGGCGGGGGAGCAC
rnacentral:rRNA from 1 species